rnacentral:lncRNA from 1 species
GCAUGAUUCAUAUUCACAUUGCAGCACAGUCUCUGGCCCAGCAUAUUCACAGCCCAAUAUCUGUCAAGUUCACCAGAAUGCCCAUGGGACCUGUAAUUACUGUGACUCAUCCCUAAAAAAGUUAUUGUGAGUAGUCACUGUUCCUACGAUAAUGCAAUGGUUUUGCUUAUAAAAUUUCCCUGAAGUUAAACCAACUUAGAGGUGGUGAGUUUGGAUGCAG